AAAACAUAAGUAAAAGUUGUUCUUUCCAAUUAGAUAUCUACUCCUACAUCGUCAGGUGGUCCAACCAUACAGUGCCUGUACUGCAAGCAAUUCAUGAGACAGGCAUCCAUCCCUACACAUGUUGAUGUUUAUUCAAGAUAAGUUAUGGUUAUUUGUCUGUAAUGUCAGUUUUGCUAUGUAGUAGGGCUGCACAAUAUAUAAUUUAAGCAUUGACAUUGCGAUGUGUGCACGUGCGAUAGUCACAUCGCGGACCCUGCGAUGUCACGUGGCAAUAAAAACAAACACGCCGUUGCAGUGUUUUGAUUCUUAAGAAGUAGAUACACAGCAUUCUGAGUGAGCGCGAGAGGGAGGGGGAGCGGGCGUAAACACAAGAAAAAAUAGAACAAUGCGAACAAUCCAAUAUAGUGCAGCCCUGUUAUGUAGCUCAUUCACAUUAAAUAAUUAAGGCAUGUCAUCAUGCAUUGCAUAAUUUUUGGGAGUUUGCAAUUAGCUCUCAUGAUAAAUUGUACUUCUUGGUUUUUAGCAUUGGGAAUAGUGUGUAGAGUAAUGUUUCAAGCCAAGAACAUAUCUUUUUAAUUUUAAUCUCUCUGACAUUAAAAUUGCUAGACAUAAUUCAGACGGUAGGACAGGCAGGCAUGGAAACAACAGACGAAGGGAGCAUAUAGAAGCUGAAAGGACUCAAGAUGGUAUUGGAAGGCACCAGGAAAGAGAGGGCAGACAACAGGAAAGAGAGGGCAGACAACAGGAAAGAGAAGACAGACAACAGGAAAGAGAAGACAGACAACAGGAAAGAGAGGGCAGACAACAGGAAAGAGAAGACAGACAACAGGAAAGAGAAGACAGACAACAGGAAAGAGAGGACGGACAACAAAAGGAGACAGAAGAUGGGAACACCACUCCAGGGGAAAUGGGAAAUAUCCAAAGGAUUCACUAUCGGAACAGUACAGACAAUGAACAUAGAGACUUGAGGCAGAGACAAAGUGGUAGUUGCACUAGUGAAGAGUGGAAAACUGAGCCAGAUAUUACGAAAGCAGUUGACAUUUACAGACAUCAACUGUUGAAAGCUGCUGAGUCUGAGGAGGAUCUGACAAUCAAACUGAACAUGGGACAUAGUCCAGAGGACCGGGAGAGGGCUAUUCUGCAGUUUUACAAAGCCCCCAACAUAAACUGGGCCCGAAACCUUACUGUGGUUUUACAAGGUGAUGCUGCAUUGGGAGAUGGCGUCAAAAGAUUCUUUUUUUCACGAACAAUAUCAAAACUACAGUUUGGUUUUGAACUGAACAUAGAAGGUCCUGGGAAAACCCUUUUUUUCUUGGAGAGGAAGAUCACCAGGUGCCAUCGACAUCUAAAAUUCUUCUAGACAGUGGACUCUAUGUGGUUGCUGGACGAAUGAUAGGACACUCAAUCCUGCAUGGCGGCCCAGGAUUGAGUAGUUUGAGUCCUUCAGUUUUUAGCUCUCUGAUUGGCCAAGAUGAAGAGCAUGUAUGCCUACAAGAUUGUCCAGACAUGGACCUCCGAGAAAUAAUUCAAGAGCUUGAUGGAGAUGAUGACCUUAGCCAGAGCCAGACGUCAAAAAUGAAUGAUCUCUGCCUUAGCUGGGACUUGCCGUUUGUUAACACUGAGAAUCGAAGGUGGCUUGCAGAGAAAGUGCUAGUGCAUGCGGUCCUUGGCCGUAGAAGAGAGCAACUCAGACAACUCAGAAGAGGCUUGAAAGACAGUGGACUGAUGCCUUUACUAAAGGAAAGGCCUGAUGCUCUGAAUAUCAUUUUCCCUCAAGCAUCCAUAAUUUUUUGUUACC